CUGCUACAACUGUGGCAAGCCAGGGCAU
rnacentral:piRNA from 1 species